GGGUGCGUAAGCCUAGUGGUGAGGGCAGCGGACUGUAAAUCCGUGACGUAAGAUACAACGUAGGUUCAAAUCCUACCGCACCCACCA
rnacentral:tRNA from 1 species